rnacentral:rRNA from 1 species
UACGGGGGGGGCAAGCGUUGUUCGGAAUUACUGGGCGUAAAGGGCUCGUAGGCGGCCAACUAAGUCAGACGUGAAAUCCCUCGGCUUAACCGGGGAACUGCAUCUGAUACUGGAUGGCUUGAGUUCGGGAGAGGGAUGCGGAAUUCCAGGUGUAGCGGUGAAAUGCGUAGAUAUCUGGAGGAACACCGAUGGCGAAGGCAGGUCUCUGGGCCACUACUGACGCUGAGAAGCGAAAGCAUGGGGAGCGAACAGG